AUUACAUCCAGGAGGUGGAGAUUAUUUGAAGAGCUCUUGAAGUUUUUAAGCGUUUGGUUUAAAAUAGUUAAAUCACUUUAGACUCUAGAAAAAGAUCCCUUGGGAUUUUCCAAGGAAAAAGGUAUUUUCACCUUGUGAUUUGGUAACAUACAGUCACAUCUGCUGUGUCUUUUAUUUUAAGCUCUCAAAGGGAGGCUGUGUCCUCCUGAUUACCAAGCUCUUGACGGUUGAGCUCUGAAGAUCUCACGCAUCUCCUACCUCUGUUUGCCCGUCUGGCCCAGGGGUCCGUCUGACUUGAGAUUGUUAUGGUGCCUGUGCAGCCCUCUUCCCAGACUCCCAGGAGCCGCCUGGGAAAUCCUUGGUUGAAGACGGAUUUUUGCCUUUGGAAAACACAGAGGUUUAUUUGCAGGAUGAGGUGAGGGGCUAAUACUACGCUGUUUAUGAGAAAAUCUA